rnacentral:lncRNA from 1 species
CAAUAAUCGUAAAUGAUCUACAUGCCCUCAAAAAGACAUUCACGGAUAGAGAACUUGUACGGAAGAUCCUUAGAAGUCUCACUCCGGCAUGGCGACCAAAGGCCGACGCAAUCCAAGAAUCUAUCGGCGUCUCAAAUGUCACAAUUGACGCAUUAAGAGGUAAUCUCAAGACCUACGAAUCUGCUAUUCUUAGCCCUCUUGUUGAUGAUCAAAGGAGGCAAAGAAUAGCUCUAAAGGCGAGCACAA